AGAAGUAGUCGGUUAGGUCUGGAGCUGUGUGCAUGUAGACUAGAGGUCUAGAGCUGUGUGCAUGUAGACUAGAGGUCUAGAGCUGUGUGCAUGUAGACUAGAGGUCUAGAGCUGUGUGCAUGUAGACUAGAGGUCUAGAGCUGUGUGCAUGUAGACUAGAGGUCUAGAGCUGUGUGCAUGUAGUCUGGAGCUGUGUGCAUGUAGUCUGGAGCUGUGUGCAUGUAGACUAGAGGUCUAGAGCUGUGUGCAUGUAGACUAGAGGUCUAGAGCUGUGUGCAUGUAGACUAGAGGUCUGGAGCUGUGUGCAUGUAGACUAGAGGUCUGGAGCUGUGUGCAUGUAGACUAGAGGUCUAGAGCUGUGUGCAUGUAGACUAGAGGUCUAGAGCUGUGUGCAUGUAGACUGGAGCUGUGUGCAUGUAGUCUGGAGCUGUGUGCAUGUAGACUAGAGGUCUAGAGCUGUGUGCAUGUAGACUAGAGGUCUAGAGCUGUGUGCAUGUAGACUAGAGGUCUAGAGCUGUGUGCAUGUAGACUAGAGGUCUGGAGCUGUGUGCAUGUAGACUAGAGGUCUGGAGCUGUGUGCAUGUAGACUAGAGGUCUGGAGCUGUGUGCAUGUAGACUAGAGGUCUAGAGCUGUGUGCAUGUAGACUAGAGGUCUAGAGCUGUGUGCAUGUAGACUAGAGGUCUAGAGCUGUGUGCAUGUAGACUAGAGGUCUAGAGCUGUGUGCAUGUAGACUAGAGGUCUGGAGCUGUGUGCAUGUAGACUAGAGGUCUAGAGCUGUGUACUUGUAGACUAGAGGUCUGGAGCUGUGUGCAUGUAGACUAGAGGUCUGGAGCUGUGUACUUGUAGACUAGAGGUCUGGAGCUGUGUGCAUGUAGACUAGAGGUCUAGAGCUGUGUGCAUGUAGACUAGAGGUCUGGAGCUGUGUACUUGUAGACUAGAGGUCUCUGGGAUCACAUGCAGACCUACAGAGGGAAACGCCCUUAAUGGAGCUCAGCUAGUUUCUAGUCCACAAAAUGGCUGGACGCGUUAGCAUUAGCAUGCUAGCAGCUUGUAGCUCGCUAUAAAAGACGGGCGGAUAUAAUAACACAUUAUAAUCCUUCAGUCUGCUCAGUAACAUCUCAGUGACAUCUCAGUAACAUCUCAGUAACUCAGUGACAACACAAAGAAUAAUAAACGUGGUUGUUUCCGCCAUCUUCAGUACAUCCGCAUUCCCCCCCCCCCCCCCUCCCUGCAGUCACCCCUCCUCCUCCCCCCUCCUCCUCCUCCAGCACCCCCCCCUCCUCCUCCCGCAGUGGAACUUUCCAGAACCGCUCCAACAGGAACCAGCGCAGUUAGCUUCAGCGGCUACAUGCUAAUGCUAACAGCCUCGGGCGGUACAUUUUGUAAUGUCUUUAAACCGUUAUUAAACCGUUAUUCACCCACAAUUACAUAAUACAAUAUAAAUAGAGUAACGUUAUUCCGCCGGUUGAGUUAACAUUAACAACACCGGAGGUUUCCCGGGCUGGUGGGAAGACCGCGAAAACGCUGCAACAAAGAGCCGCUGAGUGGGGCUGAAUGAUCCGUUAGCAUCAGCUAGCAUCAGCUAGCUCUCUCCGUUAGCAUCAGCUAGCAUCAGCUAGCUCUCUCCGUUAGCAUCAGCUAGCAUCAGCUAGCAUCAGCUAGCUCUCUCCGUUAGCAUCAGCUAGCUCUCUCCGUUAGCAUCAGCUAGCAUCAGCUAGCUCUCUCCGUUAGCAUCAGCUAGCAUCAGCUAGCUCUCUCAGUUAGCAUCAGCUAGCAUCAGUUAGCAUCAGCUAGCUGCCGGGCGGUGUUACCGCUCGACUCCAACAUGGCCCGCGGGCCCUCUGUGGGCCUCCAGCGUGACGCUAAUGUUAGUUAACGUAAUGUUAGUUUAGCUCAACCUGGAGGUGUUAUAAACUAACCGGUGAUUGACUGAUAUUAAUAUUAAUAUAUAUCUGAUCAGAUCAGAUCGAUGAUGUUCAGCCAGUUCCUCCAGACUGAUCAUCAGAUCAUCAACAUCACACAGCCUGACCAUCAUGAACAUCCACUAGAGUCUGAAUAUAAAGUCUGUCCGGCAGGACACCAGAAUAAAGACCCCUCGGUUCUGGUGUCUCUGGUGUCUCGGUUCCGUUAUUCGGUCCCGUUAGCUGGCUGAGAGCCACACACACGUGCACAUGCUCAUUCAAUGUAACGGUGCUCGUGACAGCUCGCAGCCGCUAGCUCGAGAUGCUAACCGGUAACCGAUAACCGGUAACCGGAUCAUCUGCUGCAGCACGAAGACACGGAAACAUAAAGACACGCAGAGCAGAACCGAGACUAAACAUUAACCCGGCUCGUGUGAUAACGGUGCUAGAGAGAGACGGUUCUAACGGGUUCUAGCGGGUUGUUACCUCCAUCACGAUGCGGCCCAUCGGUGAGCCACCGGCGGUGAUGUCGAAGAAGGACUCGUGUCUUGGCCAUGUCAGCAGACUGGAGAGGAGAGAGGACUCUGAGCUGAGCGGGUUAUUAUCUGGAGAGACUCUGCUGGCCACAAGGAACCGAAA